rnacentral:rRNA from 1 species
AUUGAACGCUGGCGGCAGGCCUAACACAUGCAAGUCGAGCGAGCGGCAGACGGGUGAGUAAUGUCUGGGAAACCGCCUGAUGGAGGGGGCUAACUACUGGAAAAGGUAGCUCAUACCGCGUACCAUCCGAUGUGCCCAGAUGGGACUAGCUAGUAGGUGGGGUAACGGCUCACCCAGGCGACGAUCCCUAGCUGGUUUGAGAGGAUGACCAGCCACACUGGAACUGAGACACGGUCCAGACUCCUACGGGAGGCAGCAGUGGGGAAUAUUGCACAAUGGGCGCAAGCCUGAUGCAGCCAUGCCGCGUGUGUGAAGAAGGCCUUCGGGUUGUAAAGCACUUUCAGCAGGGAGGCGGUACCCGCAGAAUAAGCACCGGCUAACUCCGUGCCAGCAGCCGCGGUAAUAC